AGCGAACGCUGGCGGCAGGCCUAACACAUGCAAGUCGAACGAAGUCUUCGGACUUAGUGGCGGACGGGUGAGUAACACGUGGGAACGUACCUUUUGGUUCGGAACAACUCAGGGAAACUUGAGCUAAUACCGAAUGUGCCCUUCGGGGGAAAGGAUUUAUCGCCAUUAGAGCGGCCCGCGUUAGAUUAGCUAGUUGGUGG
rnacentral:rRNA from 1 species